UGCCCGGUUAGCUCAAUCGGUAGAGCGUGAGACUCUUAAUCUCAAGGUUGCGGGUGAGUACUACGUCCGUGCGA